AGUCUAUGGGUUAAAACGGUUACCACUUACUAUCAAGUAAGGUUUUUUGUAUAGCCUCCCAAUCGCAUUUGCGGUCAUGUGAGGUUUUU
rnacentral:sRNA from 1 species